rnacentral:rRNA from 1 species
UACGUAGGGUCCGAGCGUUGUCCGGAAUUACUGGGCGUAAAGCGCGCGCAGGCGGCCCGCGAGGUGUCACGUGAAAGCCCCGGGCUCAACCCGGGAGGGUCGUGGCAAACCGGCGGGCUUGAGGCCGGUAGAGGUGGGUGGAACUCCUGGUGGAGUGGUGAAAUGCGUAGAGAUCAGGAAGAACACCCGUGGCGAAGACGGCCCACUGGGCCGGUACUGACGCUGAGGCGCGAAGGCGUGGGGAGCGAACGGG